UUGGAUGUGGCGCACGGUGCACAUCGGCUCUUUAUAACCUUGUCCCAUCGUAUUGCAAGCUGAAAGCCGGGGUUCGACUCCCUGCAUCCGAA